rnacentral:rRNA from 1 species
UCGAAAUCCGAAAGGCAGACCCGAGAACAUGUUUGUAAAUGAAUCCGUGGGCACGACGCCGGAUGCCUCUGCGUCCGACGCCGUGGCCUCCGACCCCAGACGGCUCCAGUCGGUUGGGGGUACUAACCUCUGGGCGCGGCAAGCGCCAAGGAAAACCGAAAAACAGAAAGACGGCCUCCACCCCCCAUACGUGGAGGGGUGGGGGGCAUCUAUCGAAAUAAGUCGUAACGACUCUCGGCAACGGAUAUCUCGGCUCUCGCAUCGAUGAAGAACGUAGCGAAAUGCGAUACUUGGUGUGAAUUGCAGAAUCCCGUGAACCAUCGAGUCUUUGAACGCAAGUUGCGCCCGAAGCCAUCAGGCCGAGGGCACGUCUGCCUGGGCGUCACGCAUCUCGUCGCCCCCCGACAUCAUCCUCCCCCGGGGAGCGAUGCAUGGAAAGUGGGGGCGGAAAUUGGCCUCCCGUCGUCAGAGCGCGGCGGCCGGCCCAAAUGGGAAGCCGUGUCGAUGGAUGUCUCGCACGAUACGUGGUGGUUGGAUCGCUCAACUCGAAGCCCAUCGCGCGUGGCCAUCGACCCGGCGGCACGACCCGACGGCAUCGAAGGUGCCUACGACUGUA